CGCCAUCUCUAUAAAAGGCGAGCACCUGGUAAGCCGGGGCGUGGCGCCGGCGGCUCCUCCAUUGCGGUGAGUGGGGGGUCCCGUUUGCAUCCGGUUCUCCGUGUCCCGGAGCCAUCCCCGGCCCCUUCCCGAGAGCUCCCGGCGGCUCCAGCGGGCGCUGCUGCUCCGCAGAGCCGGGACCGACACCGGGGAGGGGCCCCGGGCUCCGGCACACGCGGCCGAGUGCUGGGAGCGGAGCCCGAGGGCUGAGCCUGGGUUGGGGCCGCGCUCGGAGCUGGGCAAUGGAGUCCUGAGAGUUGGAGUCUGGAAACCAAGCGGGGCCGGUUCGGGUUCAGAACCAGGGACCGGGGGCUGGGGGCUGGACCCGGGGUCACUAAAACCGGGUUUGGGGCUCGGCAAUGGAGACCAAGCCCCACGUGUUGGAGUCUGGAGCCCGGCUCACGGGGUCAGUUGCGGGGCUCAGAGAGAGCUCGAGCUGCCCAAAGCAGGUUCCGAGCUGGGUCGGGCUGGUAUCGGUUGGUGGCUGCUGAGCCAUUGCAUUGUGCAUCACUUGUGUUCAUUGGUUUUAACCUUCCCUUUUGUCCCCUUUAGCUUUAUAUUCUGUCCCCUUGUUACUUCCCUUAUCAUUAUUAGUAGUAGGACUUGUGUUAUCAUGUAUUUAAUUUAUAUUAUACAUUUUCUGUUGUAUAUUGUUAAGUUCUGGGCCCCUCACUACAAGGGAGACAUGAAGGGGACUUGGCUGGUGGGAAGGGCAGGAGCACAGCACAUUGCACUCUAAGCAUCAUCUUGUGCCUUUGAACCCUGCAGGUGCCCAAUGGGCUGGAGGCUGUGAGCAUGGAGAGCAAGGGCUGCCUGAGCAGCGGACGGUGAAGAGACAGAUGGGACAUCGUUGGAACGCAGGCCCAAGGAGAGGCCCCGUGCAGCUCUCUUCAGGGACCAUCCCGGGGUGCUCGACCUGUCCCUGCAAGAAGAACACCCAUCACCACCAAUCUCUUCAUGCGUCUGCCCGUUGGCCACCUUUCCUACCCACCACCAGCCCAACCUGCUUCCUCCCCACACAUCUUGGCCUUGUGGCACUCCUAGCCCCACACUGUGGCCAUGCUGCAUCCUUCUAUCUGUCCUGUAUCAUCUUCUGCUUCUCCACUGGUAUGUGGAGCAUGGGCAGACUGUGCCUGUUCUCUCCUCAGGGCCUUUGCUUCCCUGGCUUUUCCCAGCUGGCACCCACAUGCACACAGCUGUGCAGAUCCUUCCCAAAUAACAGCCUUCAUCCUGUGGGAUGGAAUAAACCUCCUUUCCACACACAGACUUCAAUGGCUGCCUCCUGCAUCUUCUUUGUCCUCCUCCUCCUAAGAACCCCCUCACACCAUGAGCACAAAACAUCACCUUGCACCUGGCAGUCCACACACCUGGAUGAUGCCAUCUCCCAUGUCAGCCUUUAGUGCUGAGCAAGAGUUGUCCAACUUCCAAGCACCUCUGAUGGAGCCAGUCUAAUAAAGCUGUGCUAACCCUGAGUCAAAAGUGCCACCUUUGCUACCCAAAUUAACACAAUUGGUUCCCAAAGUGCCACCCAUAGUACCAAGCCUGAUACCUACACUACCCAAAGUGCCGUUUACUGAUACCCAGCCUAACAGCUACAGUACCCCAAGUGCCACCUACAACACCCAACCUAACCCCUCUGGUUCCCAAAGUGCCACCCACAGCAGCCAUGCUAACACCAAUGAUAUCCAACCUAACACCACUUCAAGUGCCACCUACUCUACCCAGCCUGACACCUCCAAUGCCCAAUGUACCACCUCUGCUGCCCAACCUAACACCUGCGGUUCCCAAAGUGCCACCUACCACAGGAUCCAACCUGACAACUGUAAUACACAAAGUGCCACCCACAAUACCCAGCCUAACACUAUGAUACCCAACCUAACACCUAUGACACCCAAAGUAACACUGACACUACCCAAUCUAACACCUAUGACAGCCAACCUAAUGCCACCUCAAGUGCCACCUACUCUACCCAGCCUGACACCUCUGGUUCCCAAAGUGCCACCCUACAGGAUCCAACCUAACACCUGUAAUACCCAAAGUGACACCAGCACUACCCAAACUAACACCUUUGUUAUACCAUCUAACCCCUAUGCUUCCCAACCUGAAACCUGCAAUAGGCAAAUUGCACCUGCAGCUACCCAGCCUGACACCUACACUUCCCCUCCUGCCACUGCCUGCACCCCUUAACUACUGCCUGUAUCCCUGCCAAGAGGACAACCUGCAAAUACCCUACACUGUGUCCCCAGUGUGUCCUUACCUGCACGGGGCCUCUCCUUGGGCCUGCGUUCCAACGAUGUCCCAUCUGUCUCUUCACCGUCCGCUGCUCAGGCAGCCCUUGCUCUCCAUGCUCACGGCCUCCAGCCCAUUGGGCACCUGCAGGGUUCAAAGGCACAAGAUGAUGCUUAGAGUGCAAUGUGCUGUGCUCCUGCCCUUCCCACCAGCCAAGUCCCCUUCAUGUCUCCCUUGUAGUGAGGGGCCCAGAACUUAACAAUAUACAACAGAAAAUGCAUAAUAUAAAUUAAAUACAUGAUAACACAAGUCCUACUACUAAUAAUGAUAAGGGAAGUAACAAGGGGACAGAAUGUAAAGCUAAAGGGGACAAAAGGGAAGGUUAAAACCAAUGAACACAAGUGAUGCACAAUGCAAUGGCUCAGCAGCCACCAACCGAUACCAGCCCGACCCAAGCAGCGAUCGCUGCCUUCCAGGUAACUCCCCCCAGUUCCUAUCCUGGGCAUGACGUGCUGUGGGAUGGGAUGAUCCUUUGGCUCCUUUGGGACAGGUGUCCUGGCUCUGCUCCCUCCCAGCUUCCAGUGCCCCUCCUCACUGGCACAGCACAAGAGUCUGACAAGUCCUGGGAUCGGGCUAAGUACCACACAGCAAGAGCU
rnacentral:lncRNA from 1 species